UGUGACUAUUCAGCUUGCUUCUCUUCUUCCCCACGAUGAAACGGCGCCGGUGAAUCCUUCCCGACUCAGAUCGCAACCGCCGCCACACAAAUCCUUCUGCCGUUGCUCAUCUCCCGAUUCAAACUUCAUUUCAUCUCCGAUUUGACUCAGCUUUCACUCUCCCGAACAAAAUCGAUGGCUAACAACAUCGACUCAGAGUUUGAACCACGAUCGGAGCGCGUCUAGUGCCUGGUUGAUUUUGACGAAACCGAUAUGAAAUCCGGAGAACUCCUAAGAACUCAGGUUAAAGAAGUGAAAUCGAUCGAAGGCUUUUUUUUCGUGAGUUGAAGCUUUUUGUUGAAUCGAUUCUUGGUGAUUGAAGGUGCACGUUGAAGAUUUGUUGAAGGUUUCGUGAUGGAGGUUAGAAUCGGUUCCGAGUUGAAGACUGAAGGUGAUUGAGGAUGAUGAUGCGAUGAAGAUUGAAGCGUGAAUCCACCUCCAGUUUGUUACCAGAUGUGAAGAAAGUGAAUUGAAGGAGAAUAUGGAGAUUGUUCUGUGAUGCUUUUCUGAGCUGAGGUUGAAUUCAAUGGAGAAUUAAGAGAAUUAGGGAAGAAGAUAAAUGAAGAUGGGUAUCGAUGAUGAAGAUGAUGAAGAACGGUUCAGAGAGAGAGGUCAAAGUUUGUUACAGUU